CAGCAGCCGCGGUAAUUCCAGCUCCAAUAGCGUAUAUUAAAGUUGUUGCAGUUAAAAAGCUCGUAGUUGAAUUUCGGGGUCAGUAGGUCGGUCGUGCCACUGGUAUGAACUGGUUUUACUGAUUCCUCCCUCUUGAAGAACUGUAAUGCCAUUAAUUUGGUGUUGCAGGGAAUCAGGACUGUUACUCUGAAAAAAUUAGAGUGUUUAAAGCAGGCUUUAGCUUGAAUACAUUAGCAUGGAAUAAUGAAAUAGGACGUUUGAUCCUAUUUUGUUGGUUUCUAGGAUUGACGUAAUGAUUAAUAGGGAUAGUUGGGGGCAUUAGUAUUCAAUUGUCAGAGGUGAAAUUCUUGGAUUUAUUGAAGACUAACUACUGCGAAAGCAUUUGCCAAGGAUGUUUUCAUUAAUCAAGAACGAAAGUUAGGGGAUCGAAGACGAUCAGAUACCGUCGUAGUCUUAACCAUAAACUAUGCCGACUAGGGAUCGGAUGAUGUUAAUUUUUUAAUGACUCAUUCGGCGCCUUACG
rnacentral:rRNA from 1 species